rnacentral:rRNA from 1 species
UGACGUAGAUGCUAGUCUCUGAGAUUAAGCCAUGCAUGUCAGUGAAGCCUUACGGUGGAACGGCGAACGGCUCAGUUGUGUUGCGGUAAUUUGGUCUCUGUGUGUAAACUAACCACGGUAACCUGUGGCUAAAAGCGGAGGAUAAGGCGCAACCCUAUCAGCUUGUUGGUAGUGUAAAGGACUACCAAGGCCAUGACGGGUAACGGGAAAUCAGGGUUUGAUUCCGGAGAGGGAGCCU